CAGCAGCCGCGGGAAUACGUAGGGUGCAAGCGUUAAUCGGAAUUACUGGGCGUAAAGCGUGCGCAGGCGGUUAUGCAAGACAGAUGUGAAAUCCCCGGGCUCAACCUGGGAACUGCAUUUGUGACUGCAUGGCUGGAGUGCGGCAGAGGGGGAUGGAAUUCCGCGUGUAGCAGUGAAAUGCGUAGAUAUGCGGAGGAACACCGAUGGCGAAGGCAAUCCCCUGGGCCUGCACUGACGCUCAUGCACGAAAGCGUGGGGAGCAAACAGGAUUAGAUACCCCAGUAGUCCCUGUCUCUUAUAC
rnacentral:rRNA from 1 species